GCUUCAUCUUUCCUGAUCUGGAACCCUCUCGUGGCUUCAUCUCUCCCCAUCCCCUCCGGCCAGCCAUGGAACCCCGGUCUGCCGCGGUGGCCGGCGCGGGCGUAGUCUGCCCCAGUGACUCGCAUGUCUCCUCUCUGCCUCUGCAGCCCCUCGCUCACCCCUCCCCCCAAUCUGGGCCAUCCCGUCUCCUUUCAGCAUUGUAAAAGGAGCAUGAGGUCAAAGGGGGGCAAGCGUUGAGCGGCUGGAGGCUGAUGCCUGACGGGACACCAUGCACUAGGGACAAUCUCUGCUCGUUUUCCACCAGGCUGAUGCCUGAUGGGACACCGUGCUUAGACGAGCAGUGCACGCCGUGGAAGUAAUCUGUUCUACAGUUCCACCCUGAGCGGCAGCGGGCUUCCGAGAUACUCGCCUAUCGAGGUAAAUAUUGUUCUGCUUCUUCGAUGUUACUUGAUGCAUGCUAGGUGCUUGACAAAAUGACAGAGUGUGUAUAUUGUCAUACACGUAUUUAGUAUUAGCCAUUCAGUUGGUAGAUGCAGCUUCUUGGAACUGUUGAAAAUUGGCCUCCGGUGAAGAAUAAUAGUGCGCUGAAUAUCUCAAGUAUGUAUCAGGUACCACACAUGUUUUGUCUAUCCAUUUCUAUGCCAUUAUUUUUGUUCUAGCUUUGGUUGCUUUGCUAGUGAAAGGGCGGUGAGGGGUUUACUCUUAGAACUUCUAAAUCUUAGUACAAUCAUGACCUGAAGUUUGGACAUUUCACAAACUUGUUUUUAGUUUGCAUCCAGUGAUUCCGAAUAUGAAGUUUCUGAACCUAAUUAAGUGUUUGCAUCUUAAAAUACACCCACCUUAGUUUUUAAAUUGCAGCGAAAAAAUUAUAAAAUACAUGUUGCACAUUGAGUGUUGGAAAUUAAAGUGAAGGUAUUGACUUACAUUUUAAAUACUUGACAUACUUUCCGUGAACUUGCAUUGACUUUAUAGAUUCUAAUUUUUGUUAUUAACUUGGAAAGUUUUAUUACUUCAGGUCUUGAAUCCCUACAUGGUGAUCCUAUCCUGGUAAACAAGUACUUAAGAACAAUUUUUGGCCAAUGUUACCUUUUUUUGGCUCAUGGUUCAACAUGUUUCCAAAUCAGAUAUGGAAGACAAGUACUCCAGCCGCUAAUCAAAGUGGCCCAUAAGCACACAUAAUGACGGACGUGGUUUUGAUUUAUAGACCAUUUGAGGAUCAAAUGAGAUGAAGAUUCAGUUCUCUAAUUUUUUUUUGGUUCAGUUUUUUCAUCAUUUCUACUCAAGGUGGUGAAGGGUUUCCUUGUGAUCGGCGCGGCACCAAUCUUCUGGGUGUUAUGGAAGACCAAGAAUAAAUCCUGCUUUAAAUGUGUUCGUCCUAGAGAUCCAACCACUGUAGUUUUUUAUGUUUGUCAGUUCUUAACAUCUUGGACAACCUUUGCAGAAGGGGGCUUUUAGGGACUGUUGCGACAACGAUCCAGUAAGCUGGCGAUGGUGGUGUAGGAAGUGUAUGGGUGUCGACAUAGCUGGAACCGAUAGAUUGUUGUCCUCCUUUUUGUGCCCUCCGGUGUUAGCCCAUUUGGGAUUCUAUGUCCAAUUUCUUUUUUCUCUGUAUGAGAGUUGGCUGUAGUUCGUCAAUUACUGGUCGACGAUGCUGAUGCUCAUGUUACAAGAAUAUGUUGUAAGGAGUAGUUGUUUAUGCUUUUGUGUUCUGUUUGGGUGGUUUAUACCUGGCCCGUACGCUGGUGUGUGUGCAUGUGUAUACUGGAAUGAUUUCAGCAACGA